GCCAGGCGCGGUGGCGCAUGCCUGUAGCCCAACUACUCAGGAGGCUGAGGCUGGAGGAUCUCUUGAGUCCAGGAGUUCUGGGCUGUAGUGCGCUAUGCUGAUUGGGUGUCCACACUAAGUUCGGCAUCGAUAUGGUGACCUCCUGGGAGUGGGGGACCACCAGGUUGCCUAAGGAGGGGUGAACCAGCCCAGGUUGGAAACGGAGUAGGUCAAAACUCCCUUGCCGAUCAGUAGUGGGAUAGCAUCUGUGAAUAGCCACUGCACUCCAGCCUGGGCAAUAUAGCAAGACCCCUUCUCUA
rnacentral:SRP_RNA from 13 species